rnacentral:lncRNA from 1 species
UUUUUUUAAAAUUUUAUCAUUAACGAUAAAAAAGGAAGCAUUACAUGACUAAGGUAUUAGCACGGUCGACACAAAAAUCAACACUAGUACGAGGGAGACAUAAAGGUGGUAUUUGAUGUUUGAUGGAUGUGAAGGGCAUUUAAUGGUGAAAAGAUGGUAAGAAUUGAAGAAAACAAAAGUGUAAGACAAAAACAAGAAGAAUAGAAGGUUUUGUGAAUUUUUUUUUAAAAUUUUAGCAUUACAAAUAAAAAAUGAAGCAUUACAUGACUCAGGUAUUAGCACGGUCGACACAAAAAUCAACAGUAGUACGAUGGACAAAUAAAGGUGGUAUUAGAUGGAUGAUGGAUGUCAAGGUCAUUUAAUGGUGAAAAGAUGGUAAAAAGAAAACAAAAGGGUAAGACAAAAACAAGAAGAAUAGAAGGUUGCGUGGAUUUUUUUUAAAUUUUUUAGCAUUAACAAUAAAAAAUGAAGCAUUACAUGACUCAGGUAUUAGCACGGUCGACACAAAAAUAAACACUAAUACGAUGGACACAUAAAGGUGGGAUUAGAUGGAUGAUGGAUGUCAAGGUCAUUUAAUGGUGAAAAGAUGGUAAAAAAACAAAAGCGUAGGACAUGAAGGGUGGGGAUAAACACAUGAAGGGUGGGGAUUAAAAAACGAUUAAAAAAAAUAAAAAUAAAAUAAAAACUACACGUGGGUUGCAAAAUGACGCA